rnacentral:tRNA from 1 species
GCUGGCUUAGUCGGUAGAGCAUGCGACUCUUGAUCUCAGGAUUGGGGGUUCGAGUCCCACAUGGGGCA